UACGGAGGGUGCAAGCGUUGUUCGGAUUGAUUGGGCGUAAAGCGCACGUAGGCGGGUUCAUAAGUCGAAUGUGAAAGCCCUAGGCUCAACCUAGGAAUUGCAUCCGAAACUGUGGGUCUUGAAUACUCGAGAGGCUGGUGGAAUACCUGGUGUAGGAGUGAAAUCCGUAGAUAUCAGGUGGAAUAUCGGAGGCGAAGGCGGCCGGCUGGUGAUGUAUUGACGCUGAGGUGCGAAAGCGUGGGGAGCAAACAGG
rnacentral:rRNA from 1 species